rnacentral:rRNA from 1 species
UACGUAGGGCGCAAGCGUUAUCCGGAAUUAUUGGGCGUAAAGAGCUCGUAGGCGGUUUGUCGCGUCUGCCGUGAAAGUCCGGGGCUCAACUCCGGAUCUGCGGUGGGUACGGGCAGACUAGAGUGAUGUAGGGGAGACUGGAAUUCCUGGUGUAGCGGUGAAAUGCGCAGAUAUCGGGAGGAACACCAGUAGCGAAGGCGGUUCUCUGGGCCGGUACUGACGCUGAGGAGCGAAAGCGUGGGGAGCAAACAGG